ensembl:lncRNA
GUGUAAUGUAAAAUAGGGCUAUAAUCCAACUUGGCCAUUUAAACAGGAUUGCCUUUUAGGGACCAGAAACUCUUUGCUGUAAUAAAGUAGUAGCUUAUAAAAUGGUUGUUCUGUGGUCAUAAAGAACUGCUAUCAUUUACAAAACAUGUAAGUCAUGUUGUAAUCAGAAAGGGAAAAAUUGUUAGGGGAGAUGAGUAACAAAGGCAGGCUUUAGUAAAAUAUUUUUUUUGAAGUAUAUAAGCACUUAUUCCAUCAAGAAGUUGCUUGCCAUCUAUUUAAAUGUUGCUGACCAUAUAAUUGUCCUAUUAGAAUUUUCUGUUUUUAAUGUCAGUUUAUCUCAGUAGUUGAGGUUUUGGGACAAUUUAAUUCUUCUCUAAAGGAGUGGCUCUCAACUGGGGAUGAUUUUUCUCCUAGGAGACAUGAGCUUAGAGAUGUUUCCAAGUGUGUUCUGAGAAGAAGAAAUGAUCAUCACUGAGAACCACUGCACUUAAGGCUGUAUCAAAAGUGGAGAGAAGUGGUGCCGGUUAGGGAAAGUGGGAGACACCCUAAGAUGAAACAAGGAAGUGGACAGGAAGAAGGAAUGCAGCAUCAAAGCAUUGUUACUGGGGAGCUCUGCUGUGCUGAGAGGUGACCAUGGCAACAAGGGAACUGAGAUGAUGAGAGAAAACAACAUGCUCCAACAAUGACUCUCAAGCAACAUCUGAUUAAAGAUGGUCAAGUAAUAAUAUUUUUAGUCUUUUAUUUCCAUGAAGCCUACUGGAUAAUCUUAAAGGCUAAAAAAAGAACAUAUCUCACAAAAGGAUUCAGACAAUGCAGUAGUAGGUAAGGGAUUAAAAAUGUGGUUGCAUUUUUCUAAGAAUUAAUAGUUGAUAUAAUUUG